GAUGAACGCUGGCGGCGUGCUUAACACAUGCAAGUCGAACGGUAAGGCCCUUCGGGGUACACGAGUGGCGAACGGGUGAGUAACACGUGGGUGAUCUGCCCUGCACUUCGGGAUAAGCCUGGGAAACUGGGUCUAAUACCGGAUAGGACUCCUGGCUUCAUGGUUGGGGGUGGAAAGCUUUUGCGGUGUGGGAUGGGCCCGCGGCCUAUCAGCUUGUUGGUGGGGUAAUGGCCUACCAAGGCGACGACGGGUAGCCGGCCUGAGAGGGUGACCGGUCGCACUGGGACUGAGAUACGGCCCAGACUGCUGCGGGAGGCAGCAGUGGGGGAUAUUGCACAAUGGGCGCAAGCCUGAUGCAGCGACGCCGCGUGAGGGAUGACGGCCUUCGGGUUGUAAACCUCUUUCAGCUAUGACGAAGCGCAAGUGACGGUAGUAGCAGAAGAAGGACCGGCCAACUACGUGCCAGCAGCCGCCGCGG
rnacentral:rRNA from 1 species